ensembl:processed_transcript
GUUAAUCAGUGACCAAGGGGAGAUAGAGAGGUUAUCGCCAUGCAAACUGUGCCAAGGUUCUGUAAGAAUCAAGAGCACGUGGUCACCUACCUGUGGAGGAGGCUUGGGGGGGGGGGCACUGUUUCUGGUUCCUGCUGAAGCCAGCAUUCUGGAGAUGGACAGCUGAUCAAUGAAAUGAAGGUAGAUUUUGUAAAUUGUAGGUUCUAAGCAGGACAAGGACUGUUGCUUCCCUGAGUUGGCCUGCUUUCCCAGAGUAUCUUAAAAGGUCUCUUGAAACGAAUAAAAUACUCAGAACUUCUGGGACUGUCCCAGACAGUGUCCUGUUACGGGCUUUAAACAGUCCCUCAUGUGGAAGAAGCCCUAUAUCCUGGAGUCAGAUGUCAAUCAUCCUGGGAAGACUCAGCCAAGAAUACAUGCUUAGAAGAAAACUGUUUCAAGCAUCGUCAUUUACCACGUGGAUGUAUCUGCACAGCCCUCCCUUUCCACAAACACCAAUACUGAAGUCCUGACGCUGGGAGUCCCUGAAUUAAGACCCCGGAGAAGAAUUGUCAAAGGGACUUACCUUUAAGGAAGCCUGUGAUCCUAUAAAAGUGAUCAUCAGUGUAAAUCAAAUCAAAAGACUUCGAUGACCUCUCCAGCACUCAGUCUCCAGCACCCAGAACAGGUGUCAUCUGCGGUUUUUCCUCUGCACCACAUCUUCCAACUAUGAUGUUGUCUAUCAUCAAAAGGCCCAGAGCAAUGAGAUCACGUCAUGGUGGACAGGUACCACCGUAACUCCCAGCAUAAAGAGAAAGCAUGACCCUAGACGUGGAGUGAAUUGAGUGUGCAGGUUCCUACGAGUUCACUGGGGCUCCAGUGGGGAUUGGGCAGGCUCCAAGCACUAAAUAACCCUAAUGAUAUCAGGACUGGUCCUGUUGGCUCCGUCUUCACACUGUUGGUUAACAGUGGACUCUCUGACUUUCAUGAGGAUGACUGGAUAUCCACUGGGAGGCCAGGAGGCUGCCCUUCCGUGCUUUGACUUUGUUCUGUCAGAAUUGAUGAGAUUUUUGACUUCCAGUUAAAACCUGCCAUCGGUUGGUCAGCAGGAGAGUGAAAGAGUGUCAUGCACACUGUACCAGCAUCGAGGCUGAGCCUGCCAGCAGAGCUGACUCUGAUGGACAAAGUGCUGCCUAGGGUGAGUGGACAGGAUGAAGAGCUGCUUUCGUUGGAACACCCGCAAAAGGUAGUUUCGUUCAGCGGGUAUGUCAUAAGCGCACACGUGUAAGACGGAACAGUCUUAGAUGAUGCCAAAGUGGGACAGGUGAUGCCCAUGUGUUAGUCCCCACGAGGAUUCUGAGGCCUAGGGCUUUGAAAAUAGGCUGCCAGCUCUUGUCCUUGUGCCUCUAAUGAGAUGAUGGCCACUCCAUGACUACUUCAUCUCGUGAAAUAUUGUCAUCAUCGGGAAGACGGAAAUUAUUUUUUACUACUUCCACUUUCUGAAAUUGAAAAAAGAAAAAGAAAAAAGAAAAAGCUCUCAGGUGAAAUCCCUGAAGUCAGUCUCUCUCUUCCUGCUCUCUCUCUCUCUCACUUAGAGGUCACUGGGCUGCCAGCAUCAGCUACCUCAGAAACAUCUCCCCCAGCAGUGCUCUCUGCCUCUGUUACAGAAGACGGCAAAAUUAUGAGCACUCAUGCAUCUGGUCAAUUACACACUGCUCCACCAACAAGGGCAAUUCCUUCUCCACUUCAGCUGGUGCACAGUGAUGCCCUGGAGCCCAGGACGGACAUGCCUUGUAACUUUUUAACCUAGUUAGUGUAACUGCCAAUAUUAUUCCCGUUCAUAUAAAUGUCUAAUCCUUUCUUGAAUCUUGCUAGGCUAUUUCCCUCAAUAAUAUCCUGCAGCAGUGAAUUCCAAAGGUGCAUUAUACGCUGCUUUAAAAAUAUUUCCUCUAUUCGUUUUAAAUUUGUUGCCUUUUAACGUCGCGGCGUGGCCGGCGCUCUGGCCUUAAGUGGUACAGGUUAAGGGCAGAGCUUCACUCUCCCCAGCACUUUCUCCGUCUUCUCUCAGUACUUUCUGUCUUGUCACUUGUAAUCGUGAUUAAGCGAGAUGAUUUGACUAAGUGGUUUUAUGCUACCUGGGGCACGGAGCAGGCAUUGGCCCAAAAGCCUUCCUUGAUACUCAGUAUGAUUUAUUAGAUAAAUAUUUACCCAGUACCUAUUUGAGUAGGAACUGUUUCAAUUUUGGAGGGACAGCUUUGAGUAAGACUAGGCCAUUGUUCAGAAGGACCCGACUUUUCAUGAGAGGAAAUGGGCAGUAACACAGUGUGUAAAUUAUUAGGUGCCAUUUCAGGGUCAAAAAAGAUCUAUCCAUCCUCCACAUGCUCAAAGUCUACCAAACUUGGCCUGGUUUCUUGCUGCCCCCCCCCCCAUCCCGUCUAAAAUCUGUAGCACUAUAAUUAUUCACAUAGCAUUGACAUUGCAUUAAGUAUUACAAGCUAUCUGCAAAUGAUUAACGUGCACGCAAGCAUGUGCAUAAAUUAUAUCAAGUUCCAUAUCAUGCAAUAGAAGGGGCUUGGUUAUCGUGCGAUUUCAGGGUCCUUGGGUGAGGGAGUGUUUUUUUUUUGAACAGGGGGUAGUUGGGCCGGGCCACCUAUCAGUCAUCUAUGUGACAUCUGUGGCUCUGUGUUAUUUGUUUGAGUAUGUGAAUGAAUCAAGAUGAAGAAAGGUCAUUUUAGCUCCUUUGACAUACUAGAUCCGGGAGGAAAAGUUCUCUAAUGCUUCUUAUAACUCCCAAGAGUGUUGGGGUACACAAAGGAAGGGAUUUAGACAGAAAGAUUCCAGUUGCAAGACCUAAGGUGCGCUGUCUAAGCAGCUAGGUGACCUUGGACAGGUCACCUUAUUGCUCAAACCCAAAGCUUUCUUCUUCAUAAAAAUAGGAAGUAAGUUUUCUUCUUUCNNNNNNNNNNNNNNNNNNNNNNNNNNNNNNNNNNNNNNNNNNNNNNNNNNAACUCACUCUGUAGACCAGGCUGGCCUUGAACUCAGAAAUCUGCCUGCCUCUGCCUCCCAAGUGCUGGGAUUAAAGGCGUGCACCACCACUGCCCGGGGUGAUAUUUCUUAAGGAUUUCAAAGACGGAAUCACGUGAAGUUCUUACUCGUUGAUUCACUGGACUGGAGGUGAUUUCUUGCUUGUAUUUUGUUUAAUGCUUCGUCAUCUAGCGUCAGGUUAUCCAGACGUCUACACAUAAAGGCAGAGUCUUUGCCUGAAUUUCUGAGUGAAUCCCUCCCUAGAAACCACACUUUGACCCAAUUACCUGUCUUUAGCUUUCCCAGGACUACAUUCCAAUGUGGUAAGUAUAUACCAUUUCCUUGUGUAGCCUCUCAUGAUUCUUUCCAAUUGUCCCUUAAUGCACCCCUCCCCGGCUCCCUUUCUGAGGCAAUUUGAAGUAGAGUCAUGCACCACCCCACAUAAUCUUGUAUUUAAAAGGCAUCUCAAUAAAUUAUUCGGAUUGUUUACACGCAUGGUUUGAAUUUACUGGCAAAUGGCUUGGGUCUUGGUUUUAGGAUGUAGCUGCUGGCCAGGCUCUUUCUGGGUGAAAGUCUGAAAUAGGAGAGGUUGCCCUUGCUGUCCCUCACCAGUACUUCCUCUGCCUGGUUCCUGGCCUUUCAACACCUCCCUCCUUUCCCUGCCCUGAAUAACUCUCAGGGCUGACAGGCCUUUUGCACCUUCAUGUGAAGACGUUUCGUGGGUCCCUUCCCAGAACUGCCCCCCAACCAAGGUGAGGUGCGCAAAGAAAUAAAUCUUCAAUGGUAUAAUUUUAGAUGCUCCGGCAGCUGAGAGGGCAGCUAUUUUUGGGCUGUAGGGCUUUCUCCUUGACCCGAGGUGACACGGUUUCGCCUGUUGCUAGAGUAGCCAGCCAGCCCUGCAGAGCGUCCUUUUAGCCGCGUGCUUGCAGUUCCUGGGGUGGCUUCUUCAUGCCCUCUACUGAAGUCCGUGCUCCUCCAGAACUUUGUGUCCUCGCCCCGUGCAGGGGCAAGCGUCUGUGGACAGGAGCCGAUGUAGGCUCUUUGCAGCGUUCACACUCCAGCCUAGCCUGUGGAUACAAUAUAGAUGGAGCUGACCCCCUCCAUUGCAGAAGAUGGAGGAAAAACGAUGGUCCAGUUCUUGUGUGUUCCUCAGUCUCCAUGGUUUAUCAGCUGCUUAGCCGCCAUGGUGUGAGUCACCCCGACUUGGAUCCAGGCUCCUGAUGCAGCUGCUAUCUGCAGACCUCCUGGACUGCCCCGGGAAGGGAGUGGGAGCUCCUGCCACAGAUGGACGGAACAUCGACAAGAAGGGCUAAAGGUGGCCAAAAAUAACAGUGCCUUCCAGAUGAGGUGACCUCAGAGCCAAGAGCAUCAUGGGGUAGAGUAUCUUGUUCCCAGUUUUAUGACCUAAAAAGUACACAGAAGAUGCAAAGAUACUACAGAGAGAAGGAACAAAGUCUGCAGAGAACAGGGAGAGGCAAUUAGGUAUCUUUUUUUUUUUUUUUUUUUUUUUUUUUAAAACUAGGAUUUUGUUGUACCACAAAAGAAAACAUAGCCUUUUAUACAUGUUUGAAGAGAGAGUUAGAGCUAUAGAUAGAUAAAUGAUAGAUAGAUAAAUAGAUAGAUGGUCAAUAGAUAGAUGAUCAAUAAAUAGAUAAGUAGGUAGGUCGAUAGAUAGAUGAUAGACAGAACCAAACACAAUAGAAGACCAAAAGGAGAAAAAGGUAGAGACAAUAUUGCCUUCCUUUGUUUGCUAUUGAAACAAACUUAAUAAAUCCUCAUUGAGACUCAA